UACGUAGGGUGCAAGCGUUGUCCGGAAUCAUUGGGCGUAAAGCGCGCGUAGGCGGCCCGAUAAGUCCGCUGUAAAAGUCAACGGCUCAACUGUUGAAAGCCGGUGGAUACUGUCGGGCUAGAGUACGGAAGAGGCAAGUGGAAUUCCUGGUGUAGCGGUGGAAUGCGCAGAUAUCGGGAGGAACACCUGUGGCGAAAGCGGCGCACUGGACCACAACUGACGCUGGAGGCGCGAAAGCUAGGGGAGCAAACAGG
rnacentral:rRNA from 1 species